CAGUGUUGGCAGACUGGAGUUUCACAUCAUUCCUCACCUUUGAGAGUGCUAGCUAGCAUUCCUGGUUAGGGUUCCUGGGAGUGGUAGUCCAACAUUAUCUGAAGGAUGACAGUUUACCCAUCCUUAGCCAAGGUGCAUUGGUACCAUUUUGUUGGAAGCUUUCUUGAUUCCCAUCAAUGGAGGAAAGUGACCAUUUAAUUGUGUGUUACACAUAUCUCUGAGAAGAAGAGACAGAGUGGACAGUAGUAAAAGCAACUGAUGGGGCAGCUAUACUUGCAUCUCAACACUACAAGGCAUUCAGACUGAUUGGAUUCUUUGUGCAUUUUGAAUUUUUAAAAAGCAUUUUGCUUUUAGAAAAAAAAACUUC